rnacentral:rRNA from 1 species
UGCAAGUCGAACGAACUCUGGUAUUGAUUGGUGCUUGCAUCAUGAUUUACAUUUGAGUGAGUGGCGAACUGGUGAGUAACACGUGGGAAACCUGCCCAGAAGCGGGGGAUAACACCUGGAAACAGAUGCUAAUACCGCAUAACAACUUGGACCGCAUGGUCCGAGUUUGAAAGAUGGCUUCGGCUAUCACUUUUGGAUGGUCCCGCGGCGUAUUAGCUAGAUGGUGGGGUAAUGGCUCACCAUGGCAAUGAUACGUAGCCGACCUGAGAGGGUAAUCGGCCACAUUGGGACUGAGACACGGCCCAAACUCCUACGGGAGGCAGCAGUAGGGAAUCUUCCACAAUGGACGAAAGUCUGAUGGAGCAACGCCGCGUGAGUGAAGAAGGGUUUCGGCUCGUAAAACUCUGUUGUUAAAGAAGAACAUAUCUGAGAGUAACUGUUCAGGUAUUGACGGUAUUUAACCAGAAAGCCACGGCUAACUACGUGCCAGCAGCCGCGGUAAUACGUAGGUGGCAAGCGUUGUCCGGAUUUAUUGGGCGUAAAGCGAGCGCAGGCGGUUUUUUAAGUCUGAUGUGAAAGCCUUCGGCUCAACCGAAGAAGUGCAUCGGAAACUGGGAAACUUGAGUGCAGAAGAGGACAGUGGAACUCCAUGUGUAGCGGUGAAAUGCGUAGAUAUAUGGAAGAACACCAGUGGCGAAGGCGGCUGUCUGGUCUGUAACUGACGCUGAGGCUCGAAAGUAUGGGUAGCAAACAGGAUUAGAUACCCUGGUAGUCCAUACCGUAAACGAUGAAUGCUAAGUGUUGGAGGGUUUCCGCCCUUCAGUGCUGCAGCUAACGCAUUAAGCAUUCCGCCUGGGGAGUACGGCCGCAAGGCUGAAACUCAAAGGAAUUGACGGGGGCCCGCACAAGCGGUGGAGCAUGUGGUUUAAUUCGAAGCUACGCGAAGAACCUUACCAGGUCUUGACAUACUAUGCAAAUCUAAGAGAUUAGACGUUCCCUUCGGGGACAUGGAUACAGGUGGUGCAUGGUUGUCGUCAGCUCGUGUCGUGAGAUGUUGGGUUAAGUCCCGCAACGAGCGCAACCCUUAUUAUCAGUUGCCAGCAUUAAGUUGGGCACUCUGGUGAGACUGCCGGUGACAAACCGGAGGAAGGUGGGGAUGACGUCAAAUCAUCAUGCCCCUUAUGACCUGGGCUACACACGUGCUACAAUGGAUGGUACAACGAGUUGCGAACUCGCGAGAGUAAGCUAAUCUCUUAAAGCCAUUCUCAGUUCGGAUUGUAGGCUGCAACUCGCCUACAUGAAGUCGGAAUCGCUAGUAAUCGCGGAUCAGCAUGCCGCGGUGAAUACGUUCCCGGGCCUUGUACACACCGCCCGUCACACCAUGAGAGUUUGUAACACCCAAAGUCGGUGGGGUAACCUUUUAGGAACCAGCCGCCUAAG